GAUGAACGCUGGCGGCGUGCCUAAUACAUGCAAGUCGAGCGAACGGACGAGAAGCUUGCUUCUCUGAUGUUAGCGGCGGACGGGUGAGUAACACGUGGAUAACCUACCUAUAAGACUGGGAUAACUUCGGGAAACCGUAGCUAAUACCGGAUAAUAUUUUGAACCGCAUGGUUCAAAAGUGAAAGACGGUCUUGCUGUCACUUAUAGAUGGAUCCGCGCUGCAUUAGCUAGUUGGUAAGGUAACGGCUUACCAAGGCAACGAUGCAUAGCCGACCUGAGAGGGGUACCGGACACACUGGAACUAAGACACGGUCCAGAGUCCUACGGGAGGCCGCAGUAGGGAAUCUUCCGCAAUGGGCGAAAGCCUGACCGAGCAACGCCACGUGAGUGAUGAAGGUCUUCGGAUCGUAAAACUCUGUUAUUAGGGAAGAACAUAUGUGUAAGUAACUGGUCACAUCUUGACGGUCCCUAAUCAGAAAGCCACGGCUAACUACGUG
rnacentral:rRNA from 1 species